UACAGAGGGGGCAAGCGUUAUUCGGAAUUAUUGGGCGUAAAGGGCGCGUAGGCGGCGAUUCAAGUGGCGGGUGAAAUCCCUCGGCUUAACCGAGGAACUGCCUGCCAGACUGGAUUGCUUGAGUGCGGGAGAGGUGAGUGGAAUUCCCAGUGUAGCGGUGAAAUGCGUAGAUAUUGGGAGGAACACCAGUGGCGAAGGCGGCUCACUGGACCGGAACUGACGCUGAGGCGCGAAAGCGUGGGGAGCAAACAGG
rnacentral:rRNA from 1 species